AUUUGCAGUCAGUGGCACACUGCGGUUAGCAGGAUAAUUGUGUUGCAAACAAUUUCCACAAGGAGCAGCAUGCAAAAAAACAGACUUUGCAAAAACGAUUUCUCUGCAGCGUGUUUCCUGUCGGUGCAGCUGAUUUAACUUGAAGUGGUUCCUGUUACUUCUACAUUUGUUUGACACGUCUUUACUGACUGAAUUUGCAGACUGUUGUAGUUUGGACCUUUGCAUCAAGACUAUCCAGACAGUCACUGAGGGACAGGAGAGGAGAGGAGAGGAGAGGAGAGGAGGAGAGAGGAGAGAGGAGAGGGGAGGAGACGAGAAGAGGAAAUGAGAGGAGAGGAGAAAAGAGGAAAUGAGAGGAGAGGAGAAAAGAGGAGAGAGGAGAGGAGAGGAGAGGUGGAGAGAAAAGAAGAGGAGAAGAGGGGAGAGGAGAGGAGAGGAAAUGAGAGGAGGGGAGAGGAGAGGUGGAGAGAAAAGAAGAGGAGAAGAGGGGAGAGGAGAGGAGAAAAGAGGAAAUGAGAGGAGAGGAGAAAAGAGGAGAGAGGAGAGGAGAGGAGAGGUGGAGAGAAAAGAAGAGGAGAAGAGGGGAGAGGAGAGGAGAGGAAAUGAGAGGAGGGGAGAGGAGAGGUGGAGAGAAAAGAAGAGGAGAAGAGAGAAGUGAAGAGGAGAGGAGAGAAGAAAAAAGAAGAGGAGAAAAAAGGAAAAAGAAGAAAAGAAAAAGA